GCUUCCCCUUCAGGGAGAAGCUAUAUGAGAAAAGUGGAAGGAGAGGGGGUGCGUCACUUGUGGGAUAGUUCACCUCUGGGAACAGGGUGGGGGCGGGGGGAUCCACUGUAAAGGGCAAUAAUCUUAAUCUAAACAAAUAAGUGGGUUAAUAUUCAUUUCACUCAUAAUAUUAUCAAUAAAGGCCUAUAAUUCCUGUACGUUUUUGUUUGAAUUGUUUGAAAUGGCAAAUAAAAACAGGUAAUACUAAUGAUUAUGUGAUCACCAAGGUGAAUUGGUUUAGUCUUGACUUCUGA